rnacentral:rRNA from 1 species
UACGGAGGGUGCGAGCGUUGUCCGGAAUCACUGGGCGUAAGGGCGCGUAGGCGGCUGGGGAAGUCGGCGGUGAAAGCCCGGAGCUCAACUCCGGGUCGGCCGUCGAGACUCCUCGGCUCGAGCUCACUAGAGGCAGAUGGAAUUCCGGGUGUAGCGGUGGAAUGCGUAGAGAUCCGGAAGAACACCGGUGGCGAAGGCGGUCUGCUGGGGUGAGGCUGACGCUGAUGCGCGACAGCGUGGGGAGCGAACAGG